rnacentral:rRNA from 1 species
GGCCCUACGGGGGGCAGCAGUGAGGAAUAUUGGUCAAUGGGCGGAAGCCUGAACCAGCCAAGUCGCGUGAGGGAUUAAGGCCCUAUGGGUCGUAAACCUCUUUUGUCAGGGAGCGAUGGCGUCCACGUGUGGGCGUAUGGAGAGUACCUGAAGAAAAAGCAUCGGCUAACUCCGUGCCAGCAGCCGCGGUAAUACGGAGGAUGCGAGCGUUAUCCGGAUUUAUUGGGUUUAAAGGGUGCGUAGGCGGUCCGUUAAGUCAGCGGUAAAAUUGCGGGGCUCAACCCUGUCGAGCCGUUGAAACUGGC